rnacentral:rRNA from 1 species
AUUGAACGCUGGCGGCAGGCCUAACACAUGCAAGUCGAGCGGAUGAAGGGAGCUUGCUCCUGGAUUCAGCGGCGGACGGGUGAGUAAUGCCUGGGAAUCUGCCUGGUAGUGGGGGAUAACGUCCGGAAACGGGCGCUAAUACCGCAUACGUCCUGAGGGAGAAAGUGGGGGAUCUUCGGACCUCACGCUAUCAGAUGAGCCUAGGUCGGAUUAGCUAGUUGGUGGGGUAAAGGCCUACCAAGGCGACGAUCCGUAACUGGUCUGUGAGGAUGAUCAGUCACACUGGAACUGAGACACGGUCCAGACUCCUACGGGAGGCAGCAGUGGGGAAUAUUGGACAAUGGGCGAAAGCCUGAUCCAGCCAUGCCGCGUGUGUGAAGAAGGUCUUCGGAUUGUAAAGCACUUUAAGUUGGGAGGAAGGGCAGUAAGUUAAUACCUUGCUGUUUUGACGUUACCAACAGAAUAAGCACCGGCUAACUUCGUG